rnacentral:misc_RNA from 1 species
UUUCCGUAGGUGAACCUGCGGAAGGAUCAUUAUCGUAUAACCGAGGUGCGAGGGCUGUCGCUGACCCGAAAGGUCGUGCACGCCCGAGUGCCCUCACACACAUCCAUCUCACCCCUAUGUGCACCACCGCGCGGGUCCCCCUUUGGCUUGUUCGGAGGGGGGCUUACGUUUUCACACAAACUUUGUAUGCAGUGUAGAAUGUAUUUUUUGUUUUUGCGAUCACGCAAUCAAUACAACUUUCAACAACGGAUCUCUUGGCUCUC